UUUUCACCUUUAGGAUAAGCU
rnacentral:snRNA from 1 species